CCUACACUUCUACCUCUCCCUCCAGAGUGCUGGGAUUAAAGGAAAGAAAGAGGAAAGCAGAUCCCCUCCCCCAACCCUCCACAGCCUGUAAAUUUCUGGCCUUCAGCACAGUGGAGGCUGGGACAAUGCCCUCAGGGAAAAGACAAAAGAUAGAGCCAGAUUCUGAUUCCCUUCACAGCUCUGAGGACAUUUCUCCUUCUACAGAGGCUGCCUACAAAAAUGACAUAUUAAGUCCUUGUUGCUGAACACACCACGUACUAUACUGGCAGGACCUAAAGAAGCCAAGUUGGAGCUGAACUAGAAGCUUCCACCCUGCUGGUUAAUCUCCUCAUGUCAGAACGUGCUACACAAGCUGCUGGGGGAGAAGAGUAAUGAGCAGUCCUACCCAGCUGUGGACCACGUGCACUUCACCACAACCUGCAGGGCACGGUAGGGUCACUGGUGCAAAGUCACAGAGUUAUGAAAGUCACUGCUUUAUUCUCUGAUUGGACCUGAGGCCUGUUCUAUAGGUGAGAAAUAAUGUCUGUUACUAUAAAUCUGGCCCAAAGUCUGUGGCAAGGUACUUGGGCCCUAGGAGGGAACCCAUUCCUAUGGUUAUGUUAAUCAAAACAGCAUGUCAAACUACCUUGUUAGUAUCUACAUUGUUCUCAUAGAUUGUUACUGUUUGCAGCCUUUAUGCCAUGGGUAGAAGUGAAUACAGAUAUGCACAAAUGGCACAGUUAACAGGAAUAAGUGACUAGUUGGUGCUUAGCCCUAAACACAAUACCUAAAAUACACCCUACAAGAACUAGGGAAACUCAGAGAAGUGGGGACAGAAAGAAUGAAAAGAGGAUAGGUAGCAUGACUGCAGAAUGCUGUCUUCUUGAUAUGUCAAGUCUACUGUACUCAUUGAACUCAGAGCAGAGGGGCUUUCCUGUACAUGAUGGGACCUAUAAAUAACUCCUCACAGAUGAAGGUGGAGUCCAGGACACCCCAUACCUCCUAGUGGCAAUUGAUGAUUUAUAGAAGAGGAGGUGUCAUGUUCUUUAGUGAUAAGCUAUGGGAGGAUUGUUUAUUCUCCAGUAAACAAUUCCACAGCCAUGAUUAUGCAAGAUACCCUAAUUCAAUUCUGUGGUGGUGGCAUCUAAUAGGGAAAAGGGAUUUAGUGGGAGGAAAGUGGGAAGAGAAAGGACAAUUUUGUG